AUGACUGAUGAAGAAGAGUUGUUGUUUUUGAGGAGCAAGGAGUUUGGAGUACUCUGCGCACCUACCUGUAGCGUGCCAUCACAACCACUUGCACAACAAGAGGUUUGCGCGCCACAUGUAAACUUCCUCUCCUUCCUCCCAGUCUCUAGCCACCCAUUGAGGGCUGGCACAUCAUGCCAAGGAAGCUGCAAAUCCUUUUUGACUUCUGUGAUGUGGUUACCACUACAACACACAAGUAUUAUAAAACCUGUCCCCAAGUUUGUGGGAUAUGCUGCUAGGGGGCUUGGAGUGCUGCUGGUCCAGAGUGCCAAAGAAGCUCUGGAAGUUCAAAAUCCAAACCCAAUGGCAAUAGUAACAGUGGCUAUUGGGAAACUUCACACAGUUUGGGUCCAAUUUGGGAAGGUUCCUGAGUGUUUCAGGCAUUUGUUUGGGAUGUGUGAGGUGGCUGCAACUCUUGGGCCAGUGCUAGAGAUUGAUAUGAAUACAAUUACUAAGGAGAAGAUCAGAGCUAAGGUGGGGAUCAAGGACUAUGAGAUAAUACCACCAUACGCUGAGAUUACUGACAAAGAGCUGAUGAUCUACAGGGUUAUACCAGAAUUAGAGAGUGUGGUGGAAAUGGGAUGGUAUGGAGAGCACAAAAGACAGGUGAUUGAGGGAACAGAUGCAGACACUAGUGAAGGAGCUAUGAGGAAGAGACACAAAGGAUAUAAUGAUGAUGUUAUAGGAACUAAAGAGAUGAUUUCACUUGGAAGCUUAGGAUUGGCCCAGUUUGAGGAGCUAAAGAAGAAGAAUGAGGAGAUUAUAAUGAGACAAAAAGAACAAAUCCUGGAGAUGGAGGCUAGGAAAAAAGUGGAAUCUAAUUUGGAUAUGAUCAUGAAAAAACAAGGGGUGAUUGAUAGAUGUGUUGAGAAAAUUGAGAUGUGGGAAAACAGAGAGAAAGAAUUGGAAGAUAUGGCUAAGGAUGACCUGAAGAAUCUGGAUACUGACAGAAAGGAUGAUGAACACAACAACUACAAUGAGGCAGUGGAUUACAAUGCUAGUCAGGAGUCAGUGUCCUUUGGAACGAAGGUGGGAGUAAAAACAGAGAAUAAUGACACAGAAAACAGUGACAUUAUGCUGGAAGAGCAACUAAGAAGAUGUGGGAGAUUGAUAGACAAGCAAGAUGCUAACAUUGAGGAACUGGCUAAAGAAAGAGUUGAUACCAAGGAUAAUUAUGAUACAAUUGGAAUUGAUCUAGGAUGUUCAAUCAAUAUGGUUGAGUCCAACCUAGAUAUUAUUGCUAAGAUCAUUCUGAUGCUGAGCUAG
rnacentral:rRNA from 1 species